AUUGAACGCUGGCGGCAUGCCUUACACAUGCAAGUCGAACGGCAGCACGGGAGCAAUCCCGGUGGCGAGUGGCGAACGGGUGAGUAAAGUAUCGGAACGUGCCCAGUCGUGGGGGAUAACGUAGCGAAAGUUACGCUAAUCCCGCAUACGAUCUAUGGAUGAAAGCGGGGGAUCGCAAGACCGUGCGCGAGUGGAGCCGCCGAUACCAGAUGAGGUUGUUGGUGGGGGAAAGGCUCACCAAGCCGACGAUCUGUCGCUGGUCUGAGAGGACGACCAGUCACACUGGGACUGAGACACGGCCCAGACUCCUACGGGAGGCAGCAGUGGGGAAUUUUGGACAAUGGGCGAAAGCCUGAUCCAGCCAUGCCGCGUGCAGGAUGAGGGCCUUCGGGUUGUAAACUGCUUUUGUACGGAACGAAAAGGUUUGGCCUAAUAAGCUGAGCUCAUGACGGUACCGUAAGAAUAAGCACCGGCUAACUACGUGCCAGCAGCCGCCGUAA
rnacentral:rRNA from 1 species